GGGUGGGUAGCUCAGUUGGUUAGAGCGUCGGUUUUACACGCCGGAUGUCCUGGGUUCGAGUCCCAGCCCGCCCA
rnacentral:tRNA from 1 species